CAACUCGGAGGAAGAGAAUUGUUGAUUUCACCUUCUUUUUUCUUACGUGGACCUAAAAGGUCAACAGCUUUGAAAGUAAGGGGAAUGUAUCAGAAUCAAGCUCUUUUUGUCUGUAAUCCUUUCUUAAGGAAAAGAUUUAUCACACACCUUCCACAGAUGUAUGGUAGUAGAGAAUAAUUUUGAACUAAUCUAAUUAAGGUCAAUUUGGGGAUAGUGGUACUUCUCUAAUUGUUUCUGAGACGUACGCAUUAGCAACAGAGAGUGUUUGGUUGUCACUGCAAGGGGCCUACGGCAACGACUUCCCAAACAGAACUGAAUUAUGUCACAAUGGCACUUUGGAACAGCUGCCUCUGCGCAGGUUUAGCUAGGAGGGAUAGAGAAGUGUGCUGGAUGUGUUGAAACCAUGUGAGGUUCUGUGGAUCCCACCUUGAGGUGCAUAGAGAGGGCCCAUGCCCUUCUGUAAGUGUUUUGACGCUUGGCGAGGAAAAAAAUGUGUUUUUAUUGUGAAUGCUUCAUUUUAGUAUUCUGUAGGUUGUGUAAAGUCCUUUCACAAGCGUUAACCGUGGUACUUUUGCUCAGUGAUGUAGCUGCACAGAGCGACAGAUGGUUAUUGACUUCGAAGGCAAAUAUCUGGCCAGACUGCAACACUUAUGCUCACAGCGCGGGACAGCUCUCGUAAAGUAAAUUGCUGAUGUUGCUGAGGAGGCAGCAGUAUCAAAGCCCUUGCUGAUGAAGGUACAGCAAGUUUGGGGAGGCUUUGGCAUUUCUCUACAGUGCUGCUCCUUGACGGUGACCCAAGACUCAGAUUCUGAACGGAGCAAAGCAAGCUAGAGGAAAACUGUAUGUCCCGUCUCCAAAACUCCAUAUUAUAGCUGAUCUUCAUCUCUGAUCUUCAAAGCUUCACAGGCCAAAAGAGAAUAGAGAUGAGGAAGGAAACAGAGAGUGCUGAUGAAUAUUUCCAAUUACCACAUAAACCACUUGGCUAGCCAAACUAAAUCACUGAAAAUGGAAGUAGUGGCACUACUUCAAAACCGUGCUUCUGCCUCUAAGCAGAACUGUAAUGUAGGUGGGGGCAUAGCAAGAGGACGUGUCCAAGCCAGGGUGGAACUGAAAGUCACCUGUCCGAGCCACAGAAAAAAGUCAGCGAUUCCCAGUUUGAGACUGUUGCUUGACCAGGACCACAGCAGCUGGAACGCUUAUGAUUACUGCUGAUGGACUCCCUAUGAAUCAGCCAGUGAUACAAGUUACGAGAACGACUGAAGCGAUUUGAAGUUAAGCUUCUCCCUGUACUGCAUUCAAAUUUGUGAAAGAAAGGAGAAGGGAGAAGAAGACAGGAGAGGAGGAGAAGAGAGGAGGAGAGAAGAGGAGAAGAUGGGAGGGAAGGGGAGGGGAAGAGAGGGAAGGGAAGGGGAGGGUACUGAAGGGACGUGUAGGGUAGCGUAGGGCAGUGUAGGGGAGGGGAGUGGAGGGGGAGAGGAGUGUAGGGGAGGGAAGGGAAGAGGAGUGUAGUGGAGGGGAGGGCUACCAUAAAUAAAAUGGUCAAAUAAAUGACA
ensembl:lncRNA